rnacentral:rRNA from 1 species
AGCGAACGCUGGCGGCAGGCCUAACACAUGCAAGUCGAACGAACUCUUCGGAGUUAGUGGCGGACGGGUGAGUAACACGUGGGAACGUGCCUUUAGGUUCGGAAUAACUCAGGGAAACUUGUGCUAAUACCGAAUGUGCCCUUCGGGGGAAAGAUUUAUCGCCUUUAGAGCGGCCCGCGUCUGAUUAGCUAGUUGGUGAGGUAAAGGCUCACCAAGGCGACGAUCAGUAGCUGGUCUGAUAGGAUGAUCAGCCACAUUGGGACUGAGACACGGCCCAAACUCCUACGGGAGGCAGCAGUGGGGAAUCUUGCGCAAUGGGCGAAAGCCUGACGCAGCCAUGCCGCGUGAAUGAUGAAGGUCUUAGGAUUGUAAAAUUCUUUCACCGGGGACGAUAAUGACGGUACCCGGAGAAGAAGCCCCGGCUAACUUCGUG